rnacentral:rRNA from 1 species
AACUUUCAACAACGGAUCUCUUGGUUCUGGCAUCGAUGAAGAACGCAGCAAAAUGCGAUAAGUAAUGUGAAUUGCAGAAUUCAGUGAAUCAUCGAAUCUUUGAACGCACAUUGCGCCCGCCAGUAUUCUGGCGGGCAUGCCUGUUCGAGCGCCAUUU